GGCCAGGUGGCGCAAUGGUAGUGCGCGCCCUUCGUAUAUGUUGACCAAUGUAUGCUUGUGAGGUCUUCGUUCGAUUCGAAGUCUGGUCA